AGUGAACGCUGGCGGUAGACCUAACACAUGCAAGUCGAACGGCAGCACAGUAAGAGCUUGCUCUUACGGGUGGCGAGUGGCGGACGGGUGAGGAAUACAUCGGAAUCUACUUUUUCGUGGGGGAUAACGUAGGGAAACUUACGCUAAUACCGCAUACGACCUACGGGUGAAGGCAGGGGAUCUUCGGACCUUGCGCGAUUGAAUGAGCCGAUGUCGGAUUAGCUAGUUGGCGGGGUAAAGGCCCACCAAGGCGACGAUCCGUAGCUGGUCUGAGAGGAUGAUCAGCCACACUGGAACUGAGACACGGUCCAGACUCCUACGGGAGGCAGCAGUGGGGAAUAUUGGACAAUGGGCGCAAGCCUGAUCCAGCCAUACCGCGUGGGUGAAGAAGGCCUUCGGGUUGUAAAGCCCUUUUGUUGGGAAAGAAAAGCAGCAGGUUAAUACCCCGCUGUUCUGACGGUACCCAAAGAAUAAGCACCGGCUAACUUCGUG
rnacentral:rRNA from 1 species